UUUUUGGUUGAGCAAGAGUUUAUUGAAUGGGUGUUGGAAUGGUUUUUGGUUGAGCAAUAGGUUGUUUAACGGGUGUGGGAAUGGUUUUUUCGGAGCUUCUGAGCAGUUUGUUCGGUUUUAAUACGAUUGUACAUAUUGGUUGUGUUCUGAGCGUUUUUUUUGGCAUUUCUUUUAGGAAUCCAUAUUGAUCGUAAGGAGGUUAUAAUUUUAUCUGAUUCUUCUAAUGCUUUGGUGUGAGCUGUCUUGUAUUUUCGCGCUGGUUCGGUGGGUAUUUUCGUGUGUGAAUAUGUCGCCUAUGUCUUUUGUUGUUUUCGUUGUACUUACACAGGAUUUGUUUUUGUAACCUGCAAUUUUUACUAUUGUGACUAAAUUGAGUAUGACCUUUAGUUGUGGAUAUGAAUUCUGAUUGCAGCAUACGGAACGGUAGCCAGAUGUUGUGUAAACUUUGUGUCGCUACUAUGGUUACUUUUGCCGUCCCCAUUCAAGUCGCUUUCUUGUACUAUUGUCCUUUGCCUCUUCUCUCCUGCAUCUUGUUUAAUGACGCGGACGCCUUCAGUUUCUCACCACUUUUUUCACUGCAAGCAUCCCUCUUCCGGGUAUGGGCUAUAAUGGUUUCAGUUAUGAUUUUUGAGCCUUGAAUGUGUUAAACCCGGAGGUUUUAUGUGCUGUGAACAGAGUUGUUUUUGUUUUAUUGUGCGAUUUCAGUUGUAUUUGGAGAAGAAUCGUACACCCGCCUGUUGAAUUUGCUGCUUGACUUGAACCGGAGUGAUUGUACUCACCCAACAUUUGUGGUAUGCGGGUGCUAAUCAGGUUGCUUAAGCUUUCUUUGUGCUGGUGUAUAUCUUUGCCUUACUGUUUUGCUUUUUUGGUGAUUUGCUUUCGGACGGAAACACGCGGAUCUUUAUCUGAUUUCAAGGUGCCUGUUUGAGUUUACCAUGUGCUUAUAGCGAAGUUUUUAACCUUUUAGGGUUAGGGUAGUUGAGGAAGACCAGGGCUGCAACCAUGGCGUAGGAGCCGCCUGUGAAUGGUUUCUUGAUUUACGGGGUUUUUCAUUUCCACAGCUACUGUUGGACUUGAUCGAAAUAUAUGGGUCUAAUGGGCUACGUUCCUCGAGGUUAUGUUUGUUCACUUACUGCCUUGUUUCAAUCUUCGCAUCGAUUUUUCGUACUGUUUUGGGGCUAGUGUUUAGGUAGUGCUUGGUUUUUCUCAAUACAUUCUUAGGUGUCAUUUUUCAUGAAAUCUAGCCAUCGGCAUGGCAUCCUUUAAAAGUUUAGUGUUAUGUUCCGGAUGACUGAUCGACAUGUCCGAGCCAUAAUUUCUCCGAAUUUGUUUAUCCUGUGUACAUCUCCGAUAGUAGAUGCUAGGAUUAUACUGCUAGUUCUCUGGAAUGUUAAAGCUCCGUCUUUAUUGUUGAUAUUCAUGUUACUUCGAGAAACUUAAUUGUGAAAUGUAUCUUGCAGGUGAGCCCAACUGAGAUCGCAAAUACGUUGCACAAUCAUGAGUGAAAUAGCUCUCUGCUGCAGAAUGAUCUAAAAGUGGGGGGAGCGAAGUAGAUGUUUCUGACGGGUGAUCAAGGGAUUACCAGUCGUGGAAAGAAUGUACUCAUCUCGUCAAUCAAGGGGAAACAAACAGCGCACUUUUUUCUGGCACUCCUGGAGAAUGCAACAUCGCUGUCGAGAAACUUGGAGGAUAUUGUUGUGAACAGGGAACAUAGGUUAGAGUGUACUCAGCAACGACCGUACGUUUUGAUUAUAACAAUUUCUAAUGAUUUCGGAACUUCAGUAACCCUAGCUUUAUCUGUUAUUGUUAUAUCUUUGAGGUUCCUAGUUAAGGUUAUUCGUAUGAUUGAGAUCGAAGAAGUAUCGCAGCCUAAUGAAUUGUAUCGGGUAUUGGCAAGGUUUACCUUUCACUUACUUUGUCCUUUGUAAUGGCAAGCAAAGCGUGGCCUGUUUAAAUGCUUUUUGAUCUGUUACCAAAUGUGAGGUGAACAAUACCAACACAUGUUUCAUGAACUUGAACAUU